AGGAGAGGCUAAUUGGUGAUUUGAAGCACCUAUGAGCCCAGGUGAGCAGCGUGGCUAAUGAGGUGGGUGUGGCGGACGGGCAGAGUGGAGCAAUGGAGUGGUGAAUGGAAAAAAGCUCAGGCCCAAGUUCCAGGUGAAGAAAACCAGCCCAAAAACACAAUGCAACCACCACCAUGUGUCAAUGCUCAUCUUGUUCCUGACACAUCCUGAUGGACAGCGAUGAAGAGCGGGAGAAAAAUGGCCUUCAUUGUUGCUGACUCUGCUGCUCUUCUCGUCUCUGAUCAUCACUGCGAAAGACUCACAGAAUACCAACGUCACAGCCGCGCGUGAGGCAGAACCAAGCGGCGCUUCUCGAUUUCCGCCGAAAGGCUGGACCACAAUCGCACAUCAGACACGGCCUUGUGAGGGAACCACUGACCCAUCGACUGAUGUGAUCCAUGGCUGACUGACGUCAAUACACAUUCAUCAGGGAUUGUUUCACCUCCAGGCCAGUGGGCCGGCCACGGGCUCGCGGCUGUCGUGACGUGAGGGAAGUCAACAAGCUUCACUUUGUCCUCCGCACUGACACCAAACACCACGACAAAGGGGAAUCAGUCCGAUGGAACCUUGUCGGAAAUUAGACACCGGGUUACAGAAAUGAACUGACUAUGGAGCUUAUUCGAAAUAGGACUUGAUUUACAUCGUAGAUUUUCACACACAUAAUCAACUAUAUGGGUCAUUUUAACCCUUUUGGGGGACAGCGGUUAAUGCAGUGGACAGCUUAUGUUAUCUUGUACCCUCCAAUUGCGUCCCCUCAUAGUGAGUCCAACUGACUUCCCUCUGCGUCGAACACAAUAAACAAUCCUGUGACACUCUGUGCUUCUCUCUGCACUAUUAAGCAGUCCAGCUGGGAGCGGCUACGUUCGGCUUCCGCUCGUUUCAUUUUGCAUCUCCGUCAACCUCAUUAGCAUUUCCAACGGGUGUUUUGCUCUUAAGUCAUCUCUACUUUCCUCCCUUAUGAAACUUGGCUUUCGCCUCCUGCUUAAGCGCUGUCCAACCUCCACUUUCUUCGGUCUCCUUCAAUCACAACCUAAUCUAAAACGGGAUCGCAAACGGACGGAUGGCUCGCCGCUGCAUGCACGCCGUGGUACAUUGCUAGCUUUUUAUUUCACGUCCCUGCCGCCAAGUUAAAGCAGCUGGGGAGCAUCAGUGGAGCCGUAACGUGGUGCCGAUCACGAUGAGACGAUUGCACUUGAUUAGUGGUCAAUGAUCCAUUUUUUUUUGUUUGGGUAGAUUGAUGCUACCUCCAUCCGGGUGGCUACAUAUCCAGGGUUCAAAUCAAACAUGGUGAAGGUGCAUGUCACUGUUAUGCUGCAUGCAAAUGGGAUGAGCCCCAAACAAAAGCGAAGUCAGCCCCAAUAUUACACUAAUUUAAACAACUAACUUUGGGUGAGAGGCGUAGUACUCCCUGGAUUAGUCGCCAGCUAAUCACAGGCUAAAUAUAGACAAAUAACCCUUUCAUGCACCCUGUAACAUGAUAAGCUGUCCACUGAAGUAACC